UACGGGAGGCAGCAGUAGGGAAUUUUCCACAAUGGGGGCAACCCUGAUGGAGCAACGCCGCGUGCAGGAUGAAGGCCUUCGGGUCGUAAACUGCUUUUCUCUGUGACGAUUAUGACAGUAGCAGAGGAAUAAGGAUCGGCUAACUCCGUGCCAGCAGCCGCGGUAAUA
rnacentral:rRNA from 1 species